rnacentral:lncRNA from 1 species
GUUGGAAUGGGCUUAGAUGAAAUAAAGAUAAAUGGCCCAACAAUGGCAUACAUCCCUAAAAACCAUCAGAUUACUCCAGUUUCAAGCCUCGAUCUCCUGCACUUACGGAAACGACUAUACCACCGAUGGAGGGAGAAGAAUACAAUCGAACAUCACACUGAAGAUGCACAUAGCUCUCUUCUCAAUUGGUUAGAAAGGUUUCAUCAAUACAAACAUAGAGAAUUUUACAUUGCAGGAGAAAGUUAUGCUGGAGAUUAUGUUUCUUAGCUAUCUCAAAUCAUAUUUGGAAAAAACAAGGGAAUUCAACAUCCAAUAAGUAGUUUCAAGGAAUCCAUGGUCGGGAAUGCUGUUAUUAAUGAUUACCAUGAUUACAUUGGCACAUUCGAGUAUUGGUGGACUCCUGGUUUAAUUUCAAAUUCUACUUAUAAAGUUUUAAGGGUAACUGGUAACUUUGGAUCUGCUACACAUCCUACAAGUGAAUGUGUUAAGGCUUUUGCCCUUGCAGAACAGGAGCAGGGAACAUUGACCCAUAUAGCACGUACACCCUCCCUUGGAAUGAUACAUCUUCACUUAAGCGCAGAUUAAGGGGUCAUUAUCCAUGGAUGUCCCGAGCAUACUUCCAAUGCACUGAAAG